CAUUGUGCAGCUGGAAAUGGGAAACCUGAUUCAGAUCACAGAAGAAGGUACAAAAACACCUAGUUGAACACAAUGCUGCCUUUUUUUAAGGGGGGAGGGGGCAUAUCUCACACCUGAGGUAUGGGGAAAGGAGUCAAACCCCAUUUUGUAAGAAAAUGCAGAAUUAAAAUAGCCUUCAAUGCAUGCGUCCCAGAACAGCAACAACAAAAAACCGCCCGGCGCUUCCAGAGCUGCGCCAGUCCCCGCGGCAGCGCUCCUCAGCAAAAUCAAGGUGGCCCGUGCACGCGACUUUAAACGGAAGCACGUUCUCCGUGGAAAAUGGGCGGUGAAUCAGAUGCCCUGUCAGACCUUUGCACUGCAAGUUUCCCAAGCUGUGACCUCCGUGGAAAAGGGCCCUGGAUCGGACGCAUAUAUAAAAAGAAACUGAGAUGGUGGCGUCAACGGCACUUGACAGGAAGGCCUCAGCAGAGAAAACCUGCAGCUCCCAGCGAGGAGGCGCUGUUCCCCAGGAAGGUGUCCUCACCUGGGAGGUCUGCACAAACCACCUUGCUGAGCUGGCAAAGGGCAGGGAAGUAGGAGGAAGCUGGACCCAAGAGGGACCUCCACUGAGUCUAUACUGUGAGGACAGGCUAUGCUGUCACCUUUGGCCAGAUGGCCAUCCCAUCCGAGCUCUGAGCAUGAAGAGAGGUGGAAAGGACUCCUUACAGGAUGCCACGCUGGACAAAAUGGCCGCCUGGGGGGUCCUCUUUGUCACCACCAGGCCCAUGUUCUCCUUCAGCCUCUAGUGUCGGCCUCGCCCCAAGUAAACUCGCAUCCCCUUGAGUCACCACUCUGGCAAAAAACUUCCGCUGACUCAGUACAGUCAGUCCCCCUCCAUCCUUCCAGCCUGGCCCCAGCCGCCACGCAUGCAGCCUUCUCCCGUCCAAGCACCCCUCCCUCCAGCCGCUCUGUCCCACCAGCUGCACACACCCCACACUCAGUGGUUCCUCUGCUUUCCAGGCCUGACCCCUGCCUGCCCAGGAGAGGCCAAUGUUCUCUGUGGCUCCCCCUCUCCCCCCAGAACUGUUCUGAAAUCUGCAGCACGGAUGUCUACAUCUCUGAUGGCGCUCCCUACACUGUUCUCACCACGCCUGCAGGUCCCUCUGUCUCACCAGACCCUGAAGAGAGGGGAAGGAAGGGAGAAAGGCAUGGAGAGAAACCUUAAUGCAAGAGAGAGACAUCAAUCGGUUGCCUUGACCAAGGACUAACUGGGGACCGAACCUGCAACCCAGAUGCGUACCCUGGCUGGGAACCGAGUCGGUGACCUUUUGCUUUGCAGAACGAUGCCCAACCCAUGGAGCCACACAGGUCAGGGCUCAAACUCUCUUCUUCAAGGCAGCAUAAGAGAAAGAGCACUGCUUGUGCUGAACUGGUUCCCGGGAUCCUCGUCUCCACACCUCUGAGACCUCCAGACCCCUGAGAAGCCCUGGCCGCGACAUCCAGGGAUGGACGGUGCCUCCGGUAGCACCCUGUGGUGGUGCUAAAGAAACAACCAACAGCCCACUUGUCAGUGGUGCUGCUGGGGACAGGGCUUCACCCUUCCGGUCCUUAAAUCCCUCCCAAAGUAAAGGUCGGUCAUGCGUAACCACAUUACCCUUAAAUUCUCUCCUAACUCGCUCAUUAGUCCCAAGUGCAGCAAAGCCGUGCUGGGAGCCUUCGCCCUGGCGCCCCUGCCGACCCCCAAAGAACGUGGGCAGAGACAGAGCCAGCCCAGGUACAGAGGAGUUAACGGACAAUGGUAAAACUGCCAAAUGCCACAAAAUAUACGUGGAUCAUUGGCUUGGCGACUGGGGUGGUUGUAUAUUUUCAAGGCCAUUUGAAAGAGCACACUCUGAUAUCACUGUCGGUGAGGUGGUGGGGAGAAAAGUAUAGGUAAUCCAAGAAAGUUUCUUUCCUUUGACUGAUACCGAAGAAGCUCUAGAAAAAUUAGCAUUUCUUGGGGGAAAAACAUCGAUGAAAUGGAAAUAACCCCUACCAUAGUCAUAAUAUAAAAGCACAAAAUACAGUGGGCAGAGCAACCCAAGAUGUUGUGAAACUGUGAGCCUGAAUCGAGCUUCCCUAACCUCUUAUUCUGCAAAGCUGCCGAUUUUACAGUACAAUUAUUAUUAUUUUUGGUCAGUUAGGGGACAUAUGAUAUUCACUGCAUCCACAACGAGACAAGAAAAUGUCUGAGAAGAGUCUGAAGAACAGCCAGUUUUGGACCACGUACAGGCGACCGAGUGCUGCAGCUCUGCCUCCUGCCCGCCAGCCCCACUGCCUCCAUCAGUAGACACGCCUUCGGAGACCUGAAGGGGGCAUGUGAGGAGUCAGCCGAUCCCUUGCAAAAACAGGGCCACACAGAGCCAUCUCAACUCACAGCAGAUCAGAGAGAGAGAAAGAGAGAGAAGAGGGAGAGCAGGGAGGAGGGAGAAAGAGGAAGGAAGCGAGAACACGUGGUGGGGGAGGCAGAGAGCCAGCCAGACUUGUUGCCCGAGUUCCAUGCCGGCCGGCUCUGACCCUCGGCGGGGUAAGUGAGAAAUCGCUCCGGGGCGCAAUUCACAGGGGCAGCGGGGUUAACCUGCUCUGUGCGUGACACACACUCAAAGAGUAUGAGAAGCGUGUCUGUUAAUCCCUUCCGGACCCCCAGCGUUACUGAGCGCCUCCUGGACACGAGGUGCGAGAAGAGUUCACCAAGUCUGGGCCACUGCCCAGGUCCUUCCAAGGUCAACAAGCCAAAAUGUUCAUGGGAGCUUCACCCCUAGUGAGGUGGUGGGUAUGCCUAUGAACUUCACUGGGGCGGUCACUUCACCACGAGUAGGCGUAUGAAAACAUGGAGUCGUACACCUCAGUACAGAUGGUCCCUGAUUUUCUUUCAUUAAUGAUGACUUAAUAAAGGUCAGGGGAAGAAAAAGAAAGAAAAGACUGCUGUGAAGAGCUCGGGUGGAUGUGGUGGGUGCCAAGGGCCUCCACGGCGCCUAAUGAAGUCUUUCACUUCUGCGUUUCCCGGCUCUCUCAGAGGUCUGGCGGCGGAAUUACUAAUAUUUUCAACAAUGCAAAUGUAAUUAUAGUUGAAGCAUAUUCUCUAACGAAAGGAAGAAAAGAUUGGCAUUUAGCAGCUUCAUUAAACUUUUGGCCUUUUCAAGGCUAAAUGACGCUUAGGGAAGAAAUAAGUUCCCAUUGGUCCAUUUAAAAAUGGGUUUCUUGCAAGUAACAGAUC